rnacentral:tRNA from 1 species
GCCCGUUUGGCAUAGUGGGUAAGAUGAAAUUCAUUUGUGACUCUUUUAAGUCAGAAAGUUGAUGAUGGUGGCAGUACUGCGUUUCACUCGUAGGCAAAAUCCUUGAAAAUGAAAAGAUCCUCGGUUCGAUUCCGAGAAUGGGCA